rfam:Homo sapiens chromosome 21, GRCh38 reference primary assembly.
GCCGGGCGUGGUGGCACAUGCCUGUAAUCCCAGCUACUCGGGAGGCUGAGGCAGGGGGAUCGCUUGAACCUGGGAGGUGGAGGUUGCAGUGAGCCGAGGUCAUGCCACUGCACUCCAGCCUGGGUGACAGAGCAAGACUCUGUCUCUA